rnacentral:lncRNA from 1 species
UGUAUGAGACAUCCAGCAAGCGAAGAUGGGAGAAGUGUACACGCUGCCUGCUUUCAUCCUGAGGUCUGGGAGGCUAUUGGGUUAGACCUCCUGAAAAGAAAGGUUACUUGACACCAGGUAUAAGGAACGGCUUUGAUGAAUCACAGAAUUAAAGCGUUCAGUUCUUGGCAGGGGGAGCUUCUAGCCAAUGCAUUGAAAGGACAACCAUAUCCCCACCUGCUUGGAGACAGAACUACAGAUCUCAGCUGGCUUUCUGCAGACAGGACAGGUCACUGACUGGUUGUCUAAUAGACAACUUUUAAGCAGCAUCAGCAGACAAAAUGUUUCAUUCCUCAAAGAAGAAGUAGAAUAAAGGCCAGUAAGCUUGCAUCCUAUGGAGAAUGUAAGUAAAGAUGGCUUGAUCUAGCAAAAGUGUUCUUAUGUCCUGGGAUGAUGAUGUGUACCAAGACAUCUUGCUUCAUCCAAAGGCCUUCUGCCAGAAUUCAGCCAGCAGAGUUUACAUUUUCAUCUUGAGCCAUUCUGAUGAAAUGCCCACUGCAGAUACCACAGUGGAACCUGUUUGCCUCCAACUGUUCAGGACUAUACAGAGUAUGAUCUACAACACCAGAGUACCUGAGGACAAGAGCCAAAAUUAUUGAUCAAUAAAAGAAUGAACCAGUUCUUUCAGAAUUUAUGUGACUCAUUCAUA